rnacentral:lncRNA from 1 species
GGUGGAGAUGGGGAUGGAGGUGAGGAUAGAGAUAGGGAUGGAGGUGAGGAUAGAGAUAGGGAUGGAGGUGAGGAUAGAGAUAGGGAUGGAGGUGAUAGUCAUAGGGUUGAGGAUGGGCAUAAUAGCAAUAAAGAUGGUAAUUAGUUAAAUAGGGAUGAUAUGGUGAAAAUGGCACAAGGAGAGGGACUGACAUCAUGGAGAUAGGAUGCAGGCCGUGAGAGGGGAGAAGCUCUCAAAAGGGAGGCCGAGCUAGCCUGAGGAGCCCUGUCCAGUCCUAGACUGGAUCCAGGGAUCACUCACUUUUUCAGAAUCAUUUCUUUAUAAAACUUGGGAACCAAAAAUUUCUAGAAGUUGCAUCGAUCUUGUGUUAACUCAGCCCGCUGUGUUAGUCAG